UAGUCUGGUGCCAGCAGCCGCGGUAAUUCCAGCUCCAAUAGCGUAUAUUAAAGUUGUUGCAGUUAAAACGCUCGUAGUCGGAUUUCGGGGCAGGUUUGCCGGUCUGCCGAUGGGUAUGCACUGGUAGAACUGUCCUUCCUUCCGGAGACGGCGCCUACUCUUAACUGAGCGGGUGUCGGAGACGGAUCGUUUACUUUGAAAAAAUCAGAGUGUUUCAAGCAGGCAGCUCGCUUUUGCAUGGAUUAGCAUGGGAUAAUGAAAUAGGACUUUGGUGCUAUUUUGUUGGUUUCGAACACCGAAGUAAUGAUUAACAGGGACAGUCAGGGGCACGCGUAUUCCGCCGAGAGAGGUGAAAUUCUUAGACCAGCGGAAGACGAACCACUGCGAAAGCAUUUGCCAGGGAUGUUUUCACUGAUCAAGAACGAAAGUUAGGGGAUCGAAGACGAUCAGAUACCGUCGUAGUCUUAACCAUAAACCAUGCCGACUAGGGAUUGGAGGAUGUUCCUAUGUGACUCCUUCAGCACCUUUCGGGAAACUAAAGUCUUUGGGUUCCGGGGGGAGUAUGGUCGCAAGGCUGAAACUUAAAGGAAUUGACGGAAGGGCACCACCAGGAGUGGAGCCUGCGGCUUAAUUUGACUCAACACGGGGAAACUUACCAGGUCCAGACAUUGUGAGGAUUGACAGAUUGAGAGCUCUUUCUUGAUUCGAUGGGUGGUGGUGCAUGGCCGUUCUU
rnacentral:rRNA from 1 species